ACGGGUGCGUAACGCGUGGGAAUCUACCCUUGGGUUCGGAAUAACAUCGGGAAACUGAUGCUAAUACCGGAUGAUGACGUAAGUCCAAAGAUUUAUCGCCCAGGGAUGAGCCCGCGUAGGAUUAGCUAGUUGGUGAGGUAAAGGCUCACCAAGGCGACGAUCCUUAGCUGGUCUGAGAGGAUGAUCAGCCACACUGGGACUGAGACACGGCCCAGACUCCUACGGGAGGCAGCAGUAGGGAAUAUUGGACAAUGGGGGCAACCCUGAUCCAGCAAUGCCGCGUGAGUGAUGAAGGCCUUAGGGUUGUAAAGCUCUUUUACCCGGGAUGAUAAUGACAGUACCGGGAGAAUAAGCCCCGGCUAACUCCGUGCCAGCAGCCGCGGUAAUACGGAGGGGGCUAGCGUUGUUCGGAAUUACUGGGCGUAAAGCGCACGUAGGCGGCGAUUUAAGUCAGAGGUGAAAGCCCGGGGCUCAACCCCGGAAUAGCCUUUGAGACUGGAUUGCUUGAAUCUUGGAGAGGCGGGUGGAAUUCCGAGUGUAGAGGUGAAAUUCGUAGA
rnacentral:rRNA from 2 species